CCUACGGGCGGCAGCAGUGGGGAAUAUUGCACAAUGGGGGAAACCCUGAUGCAGCGACGCCGCGUGAGUGAAGAAGUUAUUCGUUAUGUAAAGCUCUAUUAGCAGGGAAGAAAAUGACGGUACCUGAGUAAGAAGCCCCGGCUAACUACGUGCCACCAGCCGGGGCAAUACGCAGGGGGCAAGCGUUAUCCGGAUUUACUGGGCGUAAAGGGGGCGUAGACGGCAGUGCAAGUCUGGAGUGAAAGGCGGGGGCUCAAACCCCGGACUGCUUUGGAAACUGGACGGCUAGAGUGCAGGAGAGGUAUGUGGAAUUCGUGGUGUAGCGGUGAAAUGCGUAGAUAUUAGGAGGAACACCAGUGGCGAAGGCAGCUUACUGGACUGUAACUGACGUUGAGGCUCGAAAGCGUGGGGAGCGAACAGGAUUAGAUACCCGUGUAGUC
rnacentral:rRNA from 1 species